CUAAACAGCUCCACGUGUCCCAAAGCAGAAUGUCCAGGGAGAGAGUUCAGAAGCAGUGUGCGAGCUCAGGUUGGGCGGAACGGAUCUGCUGCGUUAAGGCAAGGCUGGAGAGCGUGAUUAAAUUUAAGAUCUGAUCCGGUUCCAGGAUGAGAGACACAGGCUAGUUCUUUUCCGGCAGACAACCUUCAGGAUCUUAACCCUAGACUCCGCGGAUGAGGGGAAAGCUUAAGAAGCCGAGCCCCAGGGCCAAGGGCGCCUCAGGGAAGCCACUGGAUCAAAGUAGGUCGCCAGACUCUCCGGCCGUUCGAGUGGGUCUUCGCAUGACUGCUGCAGGCGGGCGUCCACGGUGGCGGGCUCCCGCCCCUCACGCAGCUGCGACCUGCGGGGGCGCGCGCAGCCUCGUGGGGUUCCCGCGGAUGCGCGCCCGGCGGGGAGCGCGCAGGGCGGAGAGCCGGGCGCGAGCGCCGCAGCUCACCUGCCGCGGGCGCCACCACGGACGUGCCACGCGGGUGGUCCGAGCUAUUCGGCAGCACUGAAGGAGCCACCCCUCGGCUAGGGCGUGCCAAGGUGACCCCCGGUAACCCCCUGCCCCGCAGGCUGCGCGUCCCCGCUGCUAGGGGAGCGGUGCCAAAUGCAUGCAUAUCUUUCUCUCUGUCUGUCUGGGCACCUCUGUGGUACACACCUACCUUUUUUGUAGCCCUUGCACUCUGAGCGGUGCACAUGGGAGAGGCUGGGACCCCACCCCUUUGUUUGAGUCUGGAGGUGUGUUUGGGGGUGUGCUCGCGCGUGAGGUAUGUUUGGGAAGGGUGGGAGUUUGGGGCCCUUAAAAUAUUCCACCCUCCUGCAGACUUGUGGCUGCUGGGCGGUGCUCUCUCAGCAGCCCAGAUGUCAAACAGUUGUUGGUUUUCGGCAUGGGAGAUGCAAUUAGCCAAUGUCGGUUUUCAGCGUUUUGGCAAGUGUGCGAGUGUGCAUGUGCCGCCUCGGGAGUCCUGAUCCGUGUUUCCCUCAGAGACAAACAGCAUUUCGGUUGCAGACUUUAGCUUUUGUUUCUAAUUCCUGAAGCUCGUGGCAUUUUGACACUGAUAUCUGAGCCCAGGGUUGUCUGUCUUUCUCUGUGUGUUUUGCAUGAUCUUGGAUUGGCACCCUACUGUACCCAAACAUUAAAAAGCCUGUCUUUCCGU
rnacentral:lncRNA from 1 species